CCCCCCGUAGCUCAGCGGAAGAGCAAAUGGUUUCUACCCAUCAGGCCGGGGGUUCGAAUCCCUCCGGGGGGA
rnacentral:tRNA from 4 species